rnacentral:tRNA from 1 species
GUUUUAAUAAUUUAUAUAAAAUAUUGGUCUUGUAAACCAAAAAAAAAGAAACCUUUUUAAAACU